GCAAGUCGAAACGAGAAGUGGAGCAAUCCAUGAGUAAAGUGGCGACCGGGUGAGUAACACGUGACUAACCUGCCCUUGAGUGGGGGAUAACCUCGGGAAACCGGGGCUAAUACCGCAUAAUAUCGCAAGAUCAAAGGAGCAAUCCGCUGAAGGAGGGGGUCGCGGCUGAUUAGCUAGUUGGUGAGGUAACGGCUCACCAAGGCGAAGAUCAGUAGCCGGCCUGAGAGGGCACACGGCCACACUGGCACUGAAACACGGGCCAGACUCCUACGGGAGGCAGCAGUGGGGAAUCUUGCACAAUGGGGGAAACCCUGAUGCAGCGACGCCGCGUGAGCGAUGAAGCCCUUCGGGGUGUAAAGCUCUUUCGGCAGGGAAGAUGAUGACGGUACCUGCAGAAGCAGCUGCGGCUAACUACGUGCCAGCAGCCGCGGUAAUACGUAGGCAGCAAGCGUUGUUCGGAGUUACUGGGCGUAAAGGGUGUGUAGGCGGUUGUUUAAGUUUGGUGUGAAAUCUCCCGGCUCAACUGGGAGGGUGCGCCGAAUACUGAAUGACUCGAGUGCGGGAGAGGAGAGUGGAAUUCCUGGUGUAGCGGUGAAAUGCGUAGAUAUCAGGAGGAACACCGGUGGUGUAGACGGCUCUCUGGACCGUAACUGACGCUGAGACACGAAAGCGUGGGUAGCAAACAGGAUUAGAUACCCUGGUAGUCCACGCCCUAAACGAUGCAUAUUUGGUGUGGGCCGUUCAGUC
rnacentral:rRNA from 1 species